rnacentral:tRNA from 1 species
GGUCGUGUGGCCGAGUGGCUAGGCAGAGCUCUGCAAAAGCUUCUACAGCGGUUCGAAUCCGUUCACGACCU